GACGAACGCUGGCGGCGUGCCUAACACAUGCAAGUCGAACGGAAAGGCCCUGCUUUUGUGGGGUGCUCGAGUGGCGAACGGGUGAGUAACACGUGAGUAACCUGCCCUUGACUUUGGGAUAACUUCAGGAAACUGGGGCUAAUACCGGAUAGGAGCUCCUGCUGCAUGGUGGGGGUUGGAAAGUUUCGGCGGUUGGGGAUGGACUCGCGGCUUAUCAGCUUGUUGGUGGGGUAGUGGCUUACCAAGGCUUUGACGGGUAGCCGGCCUGAGAGGGUGACCGGCCACAUUGGGACUGAGAUACGGCCCAGACUCCUACGGGAGGCAGCAGUGGGGAAUAUUGCACAAUGGGCGGAAGCCUGAUGCAGCAACGCCGCGUGCGGGAUGACGGCCUUCGGGUUGUAAACCGCUUUCGCCUGUGACGAAGCGUGAGUGAUGGUAAUGGGUAAAGAAGCACCGGCUAACUACGUG
rnacentral:rRNA from 1 species